rnacentral:rRNA from 1 species
GACGAACCGGACAAACGUUAUUCGGAAUUACUGGGCUUAAAGCGUGCGAAGGCGGCGCGGAGGGUGAGGUGUGAAAUCCCUCGGCUCAACCGGGGAACUGCGCUUCAAACCGCCGUGCUCGAGGGAGAUAGAGGUGAGCGGAACUGAUGGUGGAGCGGUGAAAUGCGUUGAUAUCAUCAGGAACACCAGUGGCGAAAGCGGCUCACUGGGUCUCUUCUGACGCUGAGGCACGAAAGCCAGUGGAGCGAACGGG